GAUGAACGCUGGCGGCGUGCCUAACACAUGCAAGUCGAACGGAGUCGUUUUGGAAAUCUCUUCGGAGAUGGAAUUCUCGACUUAGUGGCGGACGGGUGAGUAACGCGUGAGCAAUCUGCCUUUAAGAGGGGGAUAACAGUCGGAAACGGCUGCUAAUACCGCAUAAAGCAUUAAAUUCGCAUGUUUUUGAUGCCAAAGGAGCAAUCCGCUUUUAGAUGAGCUCGCGUCUGAUUAGCUAGUUGGCGGGGUAACGGCCCACCAAGGCGACGAUCAGUAGCCGGACUGAGAGGUUGAACGGCCACAUUGGGACUGAGACACGGCCCAGACUCCUACGGGAGGCAGCAGUGGGGAAUAUUGCGCAAUGGGGGAAACCCUGACGCAGCAACGCCGCGUGAUUGAAGAAGGCCUUCGGGUUGUAAAGAUCUUUAAUCAGGGACGAAGCAAAUGACGGUACCUGAAGAAUAAGCUCCGGCUAACUACGUG
rnacentral:rRNA from 1 species